rnacentral:rRNA from 1 species
CCAGCAGCUGCGGUAAUUCCUGCUCCAAUAGGGUAUAUUAAAGUUGUUGCAGUUAAAAAGCUCGUAGUCGGACUUCUGGCCGUGUCGGACGGUCCGCCGCAAGGUGUGCACUGUUCGGGGCGGCCAUCCUCUUGAGGACCGCGUGUGCCCUUCACUGGGUGGGCGCGGGACUCAGGACCUUUACUUUGAAAAAAUUAGAGUGUUCAAAGCAGGCUUACGCUUGAAUACAUUAGCAUGGAAUAACGCGAUAGGACUCUGGCCUAUCUUGUUGGUCUGUGGGACCGGAGUAAUGAUUAAGAGGGACAGUCGGGGGCAUUCGUAUUUCAUUGUCAGAGGUGAAAUUCUUGGAUUUAUGAAAGACGAACUACUGCGAAAGCAUUUGCCAAGGAUGUUUUCA